rnacentral:lncRNA from 1 species
UUUUUAUAAAGAUCUCCUUAGUUAAAUUUUGGCGUGGAAGUGCGUAUUCAGUCUGUGGAAUUCGUAUUUCCGGGUAUGUUUCUUAUUUAAUUUUUGUAAUGUUAUUAUUUUUAAUUGUUAGUUAAAGUUUGAAUUUUUGAAGUUUAGUUAGUGUUGUUAAUAAACUAGUUAGUUUACUAUGUUUAUUUUGGCUUGGAAUUGAUUAUGUAAAUGAGUUAUUUGUGAUGACUUUUAAUAUUUUGUGAUGAAUUUCAUUAAUUAAUAAUUAUUAAUGAUAUUAAAGUUAUUUAAUGAUUAUAUUAAAUAAUUUAGUUUAAAAAUGAUUUUAAUAUUAUAAAAAUCAUUUUAAAUGAAAAUAAGGUAUUUAAAAAUAUUUUAAGUUAUAAAAUAUAACUUUUAAUAUUUAAAUGAUAAUUUCAUUAAUAAUUAAAUAUUAAUGAUAUUAAGAUAAUAUUAAUGAUAUUUAGUUUAUUUAAUGAUUAAUAUUAAAUAAAUAGUUUAAAAAUGGUUUUACUUAUUUAAAAACCAUUUAAAGAGGAUAUUAAGGAUUUAAAAAUAUUUUAAGUUAUAAUUAAUGACUUUUAAUAUUUGGAUAAAUAGUACAUUAAUAUUUAAAUAUUAAUGGUAAUUAUUUGGGUAAUAUAAAUGUUUUAAAAAUAGUUUGAGUUAUUAUAAAUAACUUUUAUAUUUUGGCAAUGGUUUCAUUAAUAGUUUAGUAUUAAUUAAACUAUUAAUGAUAAUGGAAUUGUUUAAUGUUUAAAUCAUUUAAUUAUGAUUCCGAUAUUUGAAAGUUAUAGCCGGCCAAACUAGCUGACUUGAGAACCGAUUAUGAAGUUCUGAAUUUGAAGAAGAACACCUAUAGUAACAGUUAUAUCACUAUAGGCCCUUUAGUGACAGAUUUGAAUUAUUUUAAAUUUUUCAAUUUCUGGAAAUUGCGAAAAUGAUUAAAAAUAAGAUGUCUGAUAUUUACAGAUGUUGAGGUAUAGAAUAAGAGUCUUAGACUCAGUAUUUACCCGAUAAAGCUGUCGGUACGCCGACAAAUGUCAGACCUUAUAAAAGAAAGAAAAGACUACUGUAAGAGCAUGGAUGAGAUAUUUGAAAAAUGUAUAAAAAUAUUUCAAGUAUAGAAUAGGAACUAAAAGUAUGAUCACUGUGAUUAUGUGAUUAGACUAUGUGCUGACUGUAAUAGACAGUACUAUGUGUUAAGAUAUAUUGUUCUAAUCGAACGAAUGAUCUGAUUAUUGAUAGGUUGUGAUAAAGAGAUAAAACCUAAGUUGAGAUUUGUAAUCAGCGAAUCAGGCAAGUAUCCUACCUUUGCACUUCCUUUAUGCAAUGGACAUGAGUAAGAAGUUUCAGAAUUAUUCUAUCCCUGUACAGAUUAUGUACUCUUUGAUUAUCGACAUGUUAGCUCAGAUAUAUAUUCUGUUCAUUGAUUUCUAUAAAUGGUUAUACAAGUGUCCCCACUUGGAUAAUCAUGGCAUUUGUUCACAUGUUGAUACACCUUUGUCAAUUACCCGUAUAUAUAUGUUGAAUUACAUAUUAUUGUUGAGCAAGAUUAAAAACCUUCGGGUUUGGAACCAGGCAUGUAUGAACAUCCCUAUAUGGGAAGAUUUUUGCGCAAGGCGGAUAGAGUGAGCGAUGAAUUUCGUUCAAGUUAUGUAGUAUUGAUCAAUACAGGGUACAACGGGGCUGAUCACCCUCCGUGCCCGUAAGUUAUGACGGUUUGAGGAUAGAAUUCCGCUAAACCUUUUCGAAAAUGAAAAGAAUGUUCAUAGUAUGUUUCUUAAACCCUAUUCAAGGGUAGAGCCAGAGCCAAAUUUAAAGAAUUUGAAAGAGAGUUGUUAUGUGAAUUUUUUAUCAGUACAGAUUACUUCACAACUUUCAAUUCGUUGUAGAAGUGUUAUGUAAAGAGAAUACUUAUAUUCUUUCAGCUUAUAUAUAAUUGCUAUUACUUGCUGGGCACUUAAAUGCUCAUCCUUGCUUAAAUUAAAUGUUUUCAGUUAUGUAUGAGCAACCUGAAGGCUCAGGCACGAACAAAGGAAAAGAAAAGCUGAUCGAAUAAGUGUGUAUUAUGAGUUAAUGG